GUCAGAGAGGACGGGGGGCGGGACCAACUGCAGGGCCUCGUGGACACUGUAUGGAUUUUGCUUUAGCAAUGCGUGAAGUGGGGGAAAGGACUCAGGGGGGACAACUGUGCAAGCAGGUGGCAACGAGGACAGGACUGUGACAGUCCAGGGCAGUGAGGGCAGCAGCUGGGUCUGCAGUGGGGCUUCUCAACUUGGCCCUGGCGACAAUUUUAAAAUUGGGGCUGGAACACGCUUUGUUGUGGGGCUGGCCUCACUAGUGCCUGGAGGACGUCUGCCCACCAGUUGCAGUAGCACCCUCGCCUCUGUCGUGACAACCAAAACUGUCUCCAGGCAUUGCCAAAUGUCCCCUGGGGGCAAAAUCACCCCCGGGUGACAAUUCUGGCCUGGCACAGGGAUCAGCCAACUACGGCUCCCAGGACAAAUGCAGCCGCCACCUGUUUGCCCAAAAUGCAAGCCGAGAACAGAUUUCACGGUUUCAGAUGGUCCCACUUUCAGGGAUUAUGUAAGUCCCUCCGCGGGAGCCUCGGUUUGCCUCUGGGCAGCAAACUUAGAUUGUUUACUCUCUGGCUCUUUAAGAAAGAGCCGUCCAACUCCUGGUCGGGGUGUUAAUGGGGCGAUGAGAGGAGGAGGGAGGCGGGGAGGCCUUGCAGGCAGGGCGCAGGGUUGGCACGGCGAGUGGGGCUGGAGCGAGCACGGCUCUGAGUUUUGACCUCUGCUCCCCCUGGAGAUGCUGAACGGGGGCACUGGGUAGCACGGGCUUGCAGUGGGCAGACCAGCUUAUUUGGACAUGUCAGGUUUGAGGAGCGUCAGUCACGUGGACAGUCAGGGCAAGAUCACCCAGUUCGGAGCUGCAGGCUCAGCUCUGUCUUGGGCAAAGGACUUGGCCUCUCUGGGCCUCACUGUCCCCACCUGCUGAAAGGCAUCGGCUGGGAGGUCCCUGGAGCAGGGGGUUUGUGGUGAACCCCAAGGCACAGGCAGCCUGCUUGCACUGCCUCCUGAGGACGCCUCCAUCAGGAGGGACUGAGGUCUGCGUCAGGAAGGCAGGAGACUCACAGGUCCCCUGCUGGAGAUCACACAGCCCGGCUAUGGGGAAACCAAUGGGGAGCCCGAGAGGACUGAAUCCACACAGCUGGCUCAGGUGACCGAGGCUGGCUGAGCUGGGGAGGGACAGGUGAGUGGAAUUUCAAUGCAGGACUCUAACCCGUCUGGACUUGGAGAUGGACGAGUUUCCUUCCAACUCAUGAGUGUUAAGCCACCCUCCCCAGGCCCUGUUCAGCUGAUUCCUUGGAGGAAUCUGUGACACCCCUGCUCUCUGUGACACCCCUGACCUCCCAAGGAGCCUCAGCCUCCUAGUUGGCCUGUCCUGCAGCUCCGUGGGCUCGCUGAGGCCCUGCGUGUGUCCACGUGAGACGCGUCUGAGGCUCUGAAGUCUGGAUUGUCAAUCUCGGCCACACGGUGGAAUCACUUGGGAGCUUCGCAAAGCACCAGACCCUGGGUCCAGCCCCAGAGAUUGGGAUUUAAUGGGUCUGAGGAGUUCCAAAGCUCCUCAGUGAUGCUCGCCUGCCCCUCAGCUGCACUGCCAGCAGAGAAAGGAGGAAGGAAAAAGAAAGAACUUGGCGCCAGGUCCUUUCAGAGGAUGAAGACCCCCUGGCUGGAGUGGCGGCUGGGCAUUCCCGCCGG